rnacentral:rRNA from 1 species
AAAAGCUACAUAAGCGCAUGCAAUGAAUGCCUUGACGUAAAUUACCGAUGAAGGACGUAGUAAGCUGCGAUAAGCUUCGGGGAGGUGCUAACAACCUUUGAACCGAAGAUUUCCGAAUGGGGAAACCCAGCUGCUGUAAUGAGCAGUUACCUCUACCUGAACAUGGUCUCUUUUGAGGCUUAGAUAGGGUAGUUGGCGGUCAGUGCCUGAACUGAAACAUCUUAGUAGGGCGAGGAAAAUAAAAUAACUAAUGAUUCCGGGAGUAGUGGCGAGCGAAACUGGAAGAGUCUAAACCUAGUUUAUUUUUGCCUGUUAAUUCAGGUAAAUAAGUUGACAGACGAAUAUAAAUUAGGGGUUGUGAGACGUAAAUAUUUCAAGCAAACGAUUCGAUUUAUCGAAUUGUCCGUUUGAGAAGCACAUGCUGUCACCAGUGUGCGUAAGGAGUAUAAAAAGACCUAGUGCGAGCAGAACUGUUUGGAAAGACAGGCCAGAGACGGUGAUAGCCCGGUAUGCCAAGUGUUAGGAACCUUAUCAUUUACUAUCUCGAGUAAAACGGGGCACGAGAAACCCUGUUCGAAUCUGGGACGACCACGUUCCAAGACUAAAUAUAAUUUACGAUCGAUAGAGAACUAGUACCGUGAGGGAAAGGUAAAAAGAACCCCGGAAGGGGAGUGAAAUAGAACCUGAAAUUACAUGCGUACAAGGAGUCGGAGGCCCUCGGGCUGACGGCGUGCUUUUUGUAGAACGAUCCAGCGAGUUAAUGACUAUUGCAUGCUUAAGCCAUUUGGCGUGAGGCACAGUGAAAGCGAAGGUGAAUAGCCUGAAUUUUAGUAGUAGUUAUUAGACCCGAAACCAAGUGACCUAGCCAUGGGCAGGUUGAAGCGACAGUAAAAUGUCGUGGAGGACCGAACCGUCGAGUAUUGCAACACUCUCGGAUGACCUGUGGCUAGCGGUGAAAUGCCAAUCGAACUUGGAGAUAGCUGGUUCUCCUCGAAAUAGCUUUAGGGCUAGCGUCGUACGGUAACAUCUAGGGGUAGAGCUCUAAUUCGGACUGGGGUCCUUACGGAUACCCACCCUUGUUAAACUACGAAUACUAGGUGCGGAACUACGGCAGUUAGAACAUCGGUGCUAAGAUCGGUGCUCGAAAGGGAAACAGCCCAGACCACCAGCUAAGGUCCCUAAAUAUACACUAAGUGGGAAACGAGGUGGAAUUUCUUAAACAGCGAGGAUGUUGGCUUAGAAGCAGCCAUUCAUUUAAAGAGUGCGUAACAGCUCACUCGUCAAGAGAUUCUGCGCGGAAAAUGUAACGGGGCUAAGUGUAUUACCGAAGCUGUGGAUGCGAAUACAAGACAAAAUAUAUUGAUUAUAUUUGUUUUUGUACGUUUCCAUUUGUUUUUGGAGUAAUUCAUGUGAAUUACUCUGUGAGCAGUAAAAAAUCGAAGUGCUAAGCUAGGCACUUCGUCUAUCGGUUUUUGCCAUUCAGCGGCAAAAACAUGAGUGAAACUUGCGAGAUAAAACAGUAUGUUUUGUCUUGUAUUCGCGUGGUAGAGGAGCGUUGAUAUCUGCGUUGAAGUCGAACUGUGAGGUUCGGUGGAGCGUUAUCAAGUGAGAAUGCUGGAAUGAGUAACCAUAGUUUCCUGGGCCACGAUAAUCGUCCCAGGGUUAGUCGGGCCUAAGCCGAGGCGAGUAGCGUAGGCGAUGGACAACGGGUUAAUAUUCCCGUACCGGCAUUACACCAAUAUAGAGUGCGGAGUAUGAUAACAAGAGCGGAUUCAUGGUUAUAUCCGUCCAAGCUGCCCAACUGGCAGUGAAUGAAAGCUACUUUGUUGUAGUGAUUCUUGUGAAAGUGCUUCCCAGAAAAGCUCUAGACUAAGUGUGUAGUGUCGCCCGUACCGCAAACCGACACAGGUGCUCAGGUCGAGUAGACCAAGAUGUACGAGUGAUUCUUCGUUAAGGAACUCGGCAAUACAGCGACCGUAACUUCGGGAUAAGGUCUGCCCGCUCAUAUUUUGUAUGAGCCAUGUCGAAUGAAGAGAAUGAGAAUAAAAGAGUUAAUCGAGAUAAUGAGAGAACAAAUCAUCUCUUUGGCGACGUGAGUUUGUUCAUGCAAAGCAUGAGCGGGCCGCAGCUAAGGAGCCCAAGCAACUGUUUACCAAAAACACAGGUCUCUGCAAACACGAAAGUGGAAGUAUAGGGGCUGACGCCUGCCCGGUGCCGGAAGGUUAAGGAGAAGGCUUCACGGUCUGAACUGAAGCCCCGGUGAACGGCGGCGGUAACUAUAACCGUCCUAAGGUAGCGAAAUUCCUUGUCAGGUAAGUUCUGACCCGCACGAAUGGCGUAAUGAUUUGGGCACUGUCUCAACGAAGAGCUCGGUGAAAGUGCAUUGCCGGUAAAGAUGCCGGCUGUCCGCAGCAGGACGAAAAGACCCUAUGGAGCUUUACUCAUUGAAUCAAGCGUUUACAUGUGUAGAAUAGGUGGGAGACUUUGAAACCUUGACGCUAGUCAAGGUGGAGUCGCAAUGUGAAAUACCACCCUUGUAAUCGUUUUAUUCUUACCAAGCCCUUGAAUUGCAGAGCAAUUCAGGCGUAAAUCUUUUUUCAUAGAUCUUUUAUCUUUAUUUUUUCAUAGACCGUUUAUUGUCUGGCUUAAUUUGUAGCUCAGACGAAAAACGAAAAUUGAUAAAGUAUCGAUAGAUGAAAUAUGAUAAUUGAUAAAUGACCUGGAAAUGAUCUGUAGUUCCAGGGUUUGAGACAGUGUCUGGUGGGUAGUUUAACUGGGGCGGUUGCCUCCUAAAGAGUAACGGAGGCGUUCAAAGGUCAACUAGGUACGGAUGGAAAUCGUAUCGAUAGUGCAUACGCAUAAGUUGGCUUGACUGUGAGGCAUACAAGCCAAUCAGGGACGAAAGUCGGAGUAAGUGACCCGCUGUACUAGCAUUUAUGCUAAUGUAUGUGGGAACGACAGCGCAAACGGAUAAAAGUUACCCUAGGGAUAACAGGCUUAUCGGCCCCAAUAGUUCACAUAGACGGGCCGGUUUGGCACCUCGAUGUCGGCUCAUCACAUCCUGGAGGGGGAGCACCUUCCAAGGGUUCGGCUGUUCGCCGAUUAAAGUGGUACGUGAGCUGGGUUCAGAACGUCGUGAGACAGUUCGGUUUAUAUCCGCUGUGGACGUCAGGAAAGUUGAG